AUUGAACGCUGGCGGCAGGCCUAACACAUGCAAGUCGAGCGGAUGAAGGGAGCUUGCUCCUGGAUUCAGCGGCGGACGGGUGAGUAAUGCCUAGGAAUCUGCCUGGUAGUGGGGGAUAACGUCCGGAAACGGGCGCUAAUACCGCAUACGUCCUGAGGGAGAAAGUGGGGGAUCUUCGGAUCUCACGCUAUCAGAUGAGCCUAGGUCGGAUUAGCUAGUUGGUGGGGUAAAGGCCUACCAAGGCGACGAUCCGUAACUGGUCUGAGAGGAUGAUCAGUCACACUGGAACUGAGACACGGUCCAGACUCCUACGGGAGGCAGCAGUGGGGAAUAUUGGACAAUGGGCGAAAGCCUGAUCCAGCCAUGCCGCGUGUGUGAAGAAGGUCUUCGGAUUGUAAAGCACUUUAAGUUGGGAGGAAGGGCAGUAAGUUAAUACCUUGCUGUUCUGACGUUACCAACAGAAUAAGCACCGGCUAACUUCGUG
rnacentral:rRNA from 1 species